GAUGAACGCUGGCGGCGUGCCUAAUACAUGCAAGUCGAGCGAACAGACGAGAAGCUUGCUGUUUUGAUGUUAGCGGCGGACGGGUGUGUAACACGUGGAUAAUCCACCUAUAUGACGGGUAUAAUUUCGGGAAACCGGAUCUAAUAGCGGAGAAUAUUCUGAACCGCAGGGGUCAAUAGUGAAAGACGGUCGUGCUGUCACUUAUAGAGGGAUCCGCGCUGCAUUAGCUAGUUGGUAAGGUAACGGGUUACCAAGGCAACGAUGCAUAGCCGACGUGACAGGGUGAUAGCCCACCUUGGAGCUGAGACACGCACCAGACUCCUGCGGGAGGCAGCAGUAGGCAACCGUACGCAGUGGGCGAGAGCAUGACGGAGCGACGCGACGUGAGUGACGGCGGCCUCCCGAGCGUAAAGCUCUGUUACUAGUGAAGAACAUAUGUGGCAGUAACUGUGGCGAUCGUGACGGUAACUAGUAAGAAAGCAACGGCUAACUACGUG
rnacentral:rRNA from 1 species